UACAGAAAGAUAUGUACACAUUUUGUACAGAGCAGGACAAUGCCAAACCACAUUCUGCCUGAUUACAAGCACAUGGGUGCAUAAGCAGAGUGUGCGGGUGCUAGCAUGUCCUGACCUGUCUCCUAUUGAGAAUGUAAAAAGUAAAACAUCAAUAAUGUGUUAAUAAUGUGUUUUCAAUAUAGUACAGGGUGAACUGAAUUUUCAAAGGACUCUUUUUUUUGUCUUUUUUGCAUUUUCCAUACUGUCUAAACUUUUUCGGAAUUGGGGUUAUAUUACCAUGAGUGCCGUGAUAUAAAUGCCACUCCACCUCAGUCACUGUCUGAACUAAAGAACUCAUGACCUUACCUGUUUUGUCUCAAGGGGGAUCUCCUUAAACUUCCAUUUGCUUAUUGACAUCUCUUCACUCCGAAGAAUCAUGGAGAGCAUUGAAGUGAAAUUUCAUGAAAAUUUCAUGAAAAGAAGAGGAUUCUAAGAUUUUUUUUUUAAAGAAAAGCCAGCAAACAAUCAGGUGUGUGCCAUUCUAAGUAUCAAAAGGGAAAUUCUCUUGUCCUGUGCAUCCUGCAACUCCUAAUGGCCCAUUUUAAAGAGGGAACAGAAUUCCUUGUAAGGGAUGCAAGUAAUAACACUUGAUUUUUCAUGUCUGUUUUACAAAUUAAUCUGUUUUGCAAAUUAAGAUUUCUUUUAGGUAGCAGCAACUGCAGCACAUCUGGAAAGAGAUGGUACCAGAUUCACCCAGAUCGAUCAACCAAGGCAAUUUGCUUUAAUCUGUAUCGCUUACAUUUACAUUUAUUCAUUUAGCAGACGCUUUCAUCCAAAACGACUUACAAAUGAAGAAAUACAAGCAAAAGUGAAACAAUGACACCAUGCAGAUGGAUGUUGUCUGUGGAAAGGGAAGUUGUCCUGGGCCCAUGUUUGGAGGCAUUUAUUGAGGGCCUGGCAGCAUUAUUUGUAACCUACAACUUCAACCUUGCUUAUCAGGAUGAAGCUGCCUGCACAUUGGAAUUUAUUCAGUGAGGAAUUGUGGGCAUUAACCCAGAAACUGGAUCAUAGCUUGCUGCUGGAAAGCUAGACAAGAAAAUGCAUGGAAUGAACCAACAUGUAUGCACUCUGCUUCGAAAGCUGAUGGACUUCGAAUGGCUUGCUGGUUAAAAAAUUUAUUCCAAUGUAAUAGGAAUAAAAGGUAGGCACACAGCUCGGACCAAUAUUUUCAGUUCAUGUUCAAGUACAUGGAAUGUCUUGGACAUUGAAUUGGGUUUGCUGUUUAAUGUAUUUUCAAUUUAAAGGUAAACACACAGGUCUGACCAUUUCUUUUGUGUUAGUUUGUUUCAAGUUUAAGAUUUUGACUGAAGUUCAGUCACACUCUAGGGAUGUGUCCCUUUAAUUCCCUGUCAGACAGAUAAAUCAUUGUAGCUGCUCUCAGUGGUUCUUGGAAGCUUAACCAAGUCAAUUUUCCCCCUUUUUGUCAUAUUUGCAAAGCUUAAGCAUAUUUUUUGUAUAUUUUUUUAAACAUAUCUUUUGUAAAAAUCUCCACCCUCAUUUCUUUUAUUUAUUAUUUGACUAGUGAGCAUAUUUUGGAAACUGGUGCUUAUUAGUGUUAAAUGUGCCAUUAUUGUACAAUAAAUACAUUUGGUUAUAUUGUGAAAACCUGUGAGGCAGUUAUUUUGAUGGAAAAAUUUUUUUUCACAUGGCACAUACAUUAAAUUGACAAAAAGGGAAAGACCAAUGAAGUAUGGGACUACUGAAUUUACAGAAAAAGUAGGUUUAAACAAAUAUAUUAGAUCACACCAGUCAAAAAUCUCACCUGUAGUUAUUUUAGUGAAGUGAAGGCAACUGAAUUGAAUUAUAUUGAGCAAAUACUCUAGGUUAAUGCAAAAUGUAUGUACAUCAGUACAUGUAAAUUCACAUUUGUUCUUGUAAUUACAGUCACAUUUAU